rnacentral:sRNA from 1 species
AACCUCCAGACUGAUUUCCAGAGAGCAGCAGCAACUUUUUAAUAAGUAGAAAUAUAUUCAGAAACAAUGAGAACCAGUGUAGCUGUAGCAAAUACAUUUUUAUUAUUGUCAAGUGUGAUGCACUGUACCACAUUUACAUCGCUGUUGGUACAUUAGGUUUAUGCCACUACCCCUCCAAUACACAGACAAUGCAGUGUGCUUGUGUGGCUGCGAUAUCACUAGACAAUGGGGACCUAUCAGGUUCACCACUAUCACGGGACCCAUGCCAGUGGCCCAUGAGUUUGCAUGUAUUUAUAUGUUUUCUCAUUCAUGUCUUUGUAUGGAAUAUGGAUUAACACCAUCUAAUACAGGAAGACGUACAUUAAAAUAUAAAAUCAAAACAGUGACAGAUGUUACUAAGGAGGUGUGAAUGAUGUUAACGGCAUCCUACGUAGGAGGAUGUAUCCUACUUAUGGGGGUCAGAAAGAGAAGCUUUCCCCAAGGAAGCAGAACCUGAAAUCAAGGGUGGGGGGCGGUGUAAAGGAAUUGGAGGAUGCUUGCAUUGCAUGCAUAGAGUGGGGUUUCUGAGAGGGCCUGCCUCUCUGUAAGUUUUACCUUUAAAUCCCAUUGCACCUAGAAAGGUAUCACUAUUACCUGCAUUUCAUAGAUAAGUAAAUCAAAGCAUAUGCAGGCAAAAUAUCUUGUCUGAAGCCUCAGUGUUGGGACAUGAUAGAGCUGGGAUUGGGAAACUCAUUAGCGCCCAGAGCCUCUGCUGUGAACCUCCAGUGCCAAUUCCCAUUUGAGACACUUAGGGAAGUGUGUACGCAUGCUACACUUGGCUGCUGCUAAGGCCUCCUGCUCUCAUGGCUGUUCUAUUUUCUGCUCUGUGACUCAUUUCUCGAACAUGACAUGCAUGCAUACCUAUAUAUGUAGGUAUAUUUCACUUCACUAAAUGAAAUAAGGGAGUUCUCACACCAGUGCUGUUGGGGAUUCAGGAAAGCUCAGCCUAGAGAGAAAGACAGCAUAUAUGUGUGGAGUGUCAUCUCUGUGAGAGGAAUGGGGACAGAUACACAGAAGAAGUUCCUCUGUCCUAAGUUUGGAAAGACACUGGUCUGUGGCAUUAUAUUCUAAUAGGACUGGAAGGAUGGGUACAGAAGGAUUAUUGUGGAAGGCACAGCUCAUACUUAUGGAUACUAAAGAUGGAAAGCUUGGUGGAACUUUCCAAGAGACCAUGUGGGAGAAAUACUGAUGCUGGCCAGGAGGCAGUGAGACUAGGAUGAGGAAGGCAGGCUAGAUCAGUUGACAAGUCUAAAUGUUUGCAGGGGACUAUUGAACAAGACCUGACUCUGCUUGCUUAAUACCUGGCCCUUGAGUGUAUAGAGGUAAGGAUUGUGGUCCAGGGUGGGACAGACAGAUUAGGGGAGAGCAUUAAAUAGGGCAUGAAAAGGUUCAGAGAGGGUGGUUGGUUGCUGGAAUAUCUCCCAGAGGUGCACGAGUUGAAGGCUUCCUGUCUAUCUAGUGGUUGUAACAGGAUUUGAGGCUUAAUUGAAGGUAGUUAAGUCCCUUGAGGCUGUGAGCUCUUGGAGGCAGUAUUGUAUACUUCCCACUCUAUUCUGUAUGCCAAGAGGUGAGAACAUUUUCCACCUGCCAUGAUGUCUCUGACUUGCCUUGGAAUAAACUGCCCAUGAACUGAAAGGAUGGUACCUAUCAGUGGUUCUGUCUUUCAGUGGUUCUUCUGGAAUACUCUGACAAAAAAAAAAAA